CCUACGGGAGGCAGCAGUGAGGAAUCUUGGUCAAUGGACGAGAGUCUGAACCAGCCACGUAGCGUGAAGGAUGAAUGCCCUAUGGGUUGUAAACUUCUUUUAUAAAGGAAUAAAGUAAGGCACGUGUGCCUUUUUGUAUGUACUUUAUGAAUUAGGAUCGGCUAACUCCGUGCCAGCAGCCGCGGUAAUACGGAGGCUCCGAGCGUUAUCCGGAUUGAUUGGGUUUAAAGGGAGCGUAGAUGGGUUGUUAAGUCAGUUGUGAAAGUUUGGGGCUCAACCGUAAAAUUGCAAUUGAUACUGGCAGUCUUGAGUACAGUUGAGGUAGGCGGAAUUCGUGGUGUAGCGGUGAAAUGCUUAGAUAUCACGAAGAACACCGAUUGCGAAGGCAGCUUACUAAACUGCCACUGACAUUGAGGCUCGAAAGUGUGGGUAUCAAACAGGAUUAGAUACCCUUGUAGUC
rnacentral:rRNA from 1 species